AACGAACUUUCCAGAGACAUUACAAGCUGGGUACCCCAUGUUCCAUCCUCCAGAAGUCUUCUUAUAGCUAUGCUAGUCUGAACAAAACUGCAAAUAGUAAUGUUCGAUCAUGUCAUAAAUUUUAAGUUUUGGGAUUCUGUCCUAUGGAGCAAUUCUGUUUUGUUAUUUAUAAGGUGAAAAUUGAUCCAUUAAAGAUUGAGAUUUCAUAUCGUAAUUCUUGCUUAGUAGCCUAUGGAGUGAUUACUCUGGCCUUUUAUCCAGUGAACUUGAUUUAUUCUUUGGGCAUGGGGUGGAACAUCUAAUUUAUAAUGUCUAUAGUCUUCUCUCCCCUAAUGUUUGUAUAGGGACUAGAAAGCUAUUCCCUUUUCCCCUCGCCUGGUGCUUUCUGUGCUCACACUUGUAAUUCACUUUUCCUAGCUAUACUUUAUUGACCAUCUUUUGCUUGUUAAGCUAGAUCAAUACUUUUGUUGUUUCGUUAAUUGCUUGGGCCCAAAUAGGUGAACCACAUUUAGAGUCGUGGCAUUGGUUAUUUUAUGCUUAUAUAUAUGCCUUGUACAUGCACGUGUUGCAUUUUUUUUUUCUUAGUUAUGGAUGGUGUUAUUUUGGUGAGUGGCGGAUGGUUGUAUGGUGCCACCAUCUGUAGAAGGGGUGUUACCAGCUUAUGCAUGAUUUGCUAAUAGAAACCUGCAAGAG
rnacentral:misc_RNA from 1 species